rnacentral:rRNA from 1 species
CCUACGGGAGGCAGCAGUGAGGAAUAUUGGUCAAUGGGCGCGAGCCUGAACCAGCCAAGUAGCGUGAAGGAUGACUGCCCUACGGGUUGUAAACUUCUUUUAUAAAGGAAUAAAGUGAGGCACGUGUGCCUUUUUGUAUGUACUUUAUGAAUAAGGACCGGCUAACUCCGUGCCAGCAGCCGCGGUAAUACGGAGGAUCCGAGCGUUAUCCGGAUUUAUUGGGUUUAAAGGGAGCGUAGGUGGGAUGUUAAGUCAGUUGUGAAAGUUUGCGGCUCAACCGUAAAAUUGCGAGUGAUACUGGCAGCCUUGAGUGCGCGUGACGUAGGCGGAAUUCGUGGUGUAGCGGUGAAAUGCUUAGAUAGCACGAAGAACUCCGAUUGCGAAGGCAGCAUACCGGCGCCCGACUGACGCUGAAGCACGAAGGCGUGGGUAUCGAACAGGAUUAGAUACCCUAGUAGUC